rnacentral:rRNA from 1 species
AAGUCGUAACAAGGUUUCCGUAGGUGAACCUGCGGAAGGAUCAUUAGAGAGAACUAUGAGAUCUUAAAACAAUCUCAUCUCUCCAACCCUAUGUUUAUCAACCUUCGUUGCCUCGGCAGAGUUUAAAAUGGCUAAAUGUCAUCUCUGCCAGAGGAUUUUUCAAAACUCAUUUUGGAAUUGAAUCAGAAUUUUGCAUAAAAGCAAAGAUUAUACAAACUUCAAAAAACUUUCAACAACGGAUCUCUUGGUUCUGGCAUCGAUGAAGAACGCAGCGAAAUGCGAUAAGUAAUGUGAAUUGCAGAAUUCAGUGAAUCAUCGAAUCUUUGAACGCACAUUGCGCUCUUCGGUAGCCCGGAGAGCAUGCCUGUUCGAGCGUCAUUUAAAUCAUCAAAACUCUGUUUUGAUGUUGGACCUUUUCGUCUCUUUUCGGAGACGGGUCUUUAAUCUGUUAGCAACUUACUCGAUAUACUUGCAAAACGUCGUAUAACAUCUCCGUUUUAUACAAGUUCGAGAAAGUUUUUGUUUUACUAUUACCAAUUGACCUCGGAUCAGGUAAGGAUACCCGCUGAACUUAA